rnacentral:rRNA from 1 species
GACGAACGCUGGCGGCGUGCCUAACACAUGCAAGUCGAACGGAACUGUUUUGAAAGAUUUCUUCGGAAUGAAUUUGAUUUAGUUUAGUGGCGGACGGGUGAGUAACGCGUGAGUAACCUGCCUUCAAGAGGGGGAUAACAUUCUGAAAAGAAUGCUAAUACCGCAUGACAUAUCGGAAUCACAUGAUUUUGAUAUCAAAGAUUUUAUCGCUUGAAGAUGGACUCGCGUCCGAUUAGUUAGUUGGUGAGGUAACGGCUCACCAAGACCGCGAUCGGUAGCCGGACUGAGAGGUUGAACGGCCACAUUGGGACUGAGACACGGCCCAGACUCCUACGGGAGGCAGCAGUGGGGGAUAUUGCGCAAUGGGGGCAACCCUGACGCAGCAACGCCGCGUGAAGGAUGAAGGUUUUCGGAUUGUAAACUUCUUUUAUUAAGGACGAAAAAUGACGGUACUUAAUGAAUAAG